rnacentral:lncRNA from 1 species
GUUUUUUUCUCCUUCUUAAUUAUUCCUUACUCCCUUUAUUUUCAUGGGAAAAUAGCUGUUGUUACCUCAGGGAGACAGGCAGGGCAUUUGGCUUUGCUUGCUAUUUUUUAUGGCGUUCUUUGUCUUCUCUUUGGCUUCCAGCAAAGUGCAGCCAGAAUGGUUUGGCAGAUCGUGCUGCAUCAGUAAAGCUCUGUGUCAGCCCUACCAAGGCCGGGAGUCAAGGAUUAACGUCAGUUUACAAAAAAGCUGGAGAGGAGUCCCAAGCCUUACCAAGGGUCCCAAGUGACAGCACUGGGGCACAGAGAGGAUGGCCUCGUAACAAGACCUCAUUCUCUGGAAGACCCAGCAAAUGGAGCAUCUGCCACUGGGAAGGUAUGCCCUCACAUACUUAAGGUGAGUUGUCAUCUUCCAGACCCUACUUUUCAUGUGCUUAGAAUUUUACAUUUGAG